CUGCUAGAAUGUUGCUACUUAGAAAUGGAAAGUUCACAAUUGGAAAGCUGAAAUCAUCUCUUUUUUCGUAAAGUUUUGUUUUCAACCGACCCUCAUUGUCAAUUUCUAGAUGUAAGUCAAGAUAUGAGGCCGACUUAACUGUAUCUGUAGUAUCCUUUAUCUCUAGCUCGAUUGGAUAGAUGCGUUCCACAUAGUCACCACAUUUUG
rnacentral:lncRNA from 1 species